UACGAAGGGGGCUAGCGUUGUUCGGAAUUACUGGGCGUAAAGCGCACGUAGGCGGAUUGUUAAGUUACGGGGUGAAAUCCCAGGGCUCAACCCUGGAACUGCCUUUAAUACUGGCAAUCUCGAGUCCGAGAGAGGUGAGUGGAAUUCCCGAGUGUAGAGGUGAAAUUCGUAGAUAUUCGGAGGAACACCAGUGGCGAAGGCGGCUCACUGGCUCGGUACUGACGCUGAGGUGCGAAAGCGUGGGGAGCAAACAGG
rnacentral:rRNA from 1 species